GGGGUCUUUGCAGAUACAGUUAUGAAACCAAGAUGCUGCUGCCUUCUGCCCCUCCUCACUCAGCCAUGGGCUUUCCAGUAAGAGAGGAGCAUUCAAUAGCUCCAAACUCCCUCCCCACCUCGGGCUGCAAGGCACGGUGCCAGCAGACACCAGGGGAGCUCUGCCCAGUCUUCUCCAAGCCUGACCUCUCGUGGGUGUUGGGGGAGCUGCCCUACAGCCUCCUGGGAAGAAGAGACACAAAGAUGGUGACUCACCUUGGAUCUUCACCUUCCCACCUGCCCAUCUCAGGGAAACUGAGGCCCGUCCUGCCAGGGAAGUCGGCCACAUCUCUUGGGAGCUCUGGAGCAGCUCUAAGAUUGGAAACCAGAAGUGAGAUUCCUGAAUCCCAGCCUGCUCCCCUCUCCGCCCCAGACCGUGCCUUGAUGCUUAGAGAGCUCAGAUCUUCUCUCAGGAGCCUGGCCAAGCCUGCCGAAGGGAUGAGAAAGAGGUGGCUGCAAAUUGAAAUGAACAUCCUGCUGAAAAGAAUUCAGAGUGCUUGAUAAAUAGGUGUAUGGGGCCCUGGCAUCUCACAGACAGAAGAGGACUCUCUCCCUCUCCCCAUCCGCCCCUUCGUAUAAAUGAGAGAUGUGGGUUCCUCAUGGCUCCCUCCUUCGAAGCCCUAGAGUACACAGAAAAGGGACAAAUGACCACGCCCAACAAUGAGGGGCAAGGCACUGCUCAAAUUACAGGGAACCCUAUUAAAAAAC
ensembl:lncRNA